CUUGGAUUUAUCCAAAUAUCAGCUUGAGUGUGGUGAGGUGAGAGAAUUUUUACCAAGCCACGGCUUUGGUUGUGCCAUUUUAUUUCACUGUUCAUCUAGCUCUCUGUGUCUAGAAGUAACUAUGAAGUCUGACUAGAGCAGGCUUUGCUGAUUUGGCUAUAAAACAACCUGCCAAGCUGCAGCUGUGUGUGUGGAGGGGCCCACCCCUCUAGCACACAUCUCCAUGGCUCACCCGUUACACAGCUGUAAAGCCCCAGCUAACUCACCUGCCUGCUGCACGUCCUUCCUGCAGCAGUCCUGGCUUGCUGCUCCAUGGGGAGGCUGCUGGGUGUGGGGUCUGCUCAUCCCAGCGUCCACACACCUCGCAUGCAGCACGCGGGCAGCAUCAGCAGAAGCCCAACCAUGGCAGUAUUCGUUAAUGGAUGUGCAGCAUGCUGCAGCUUCUGUCAUCCUGGGCUGAGUGAAGGGGAGUGUUCAUUUCACUGAGGUUUGUUGUUACUCUUUCUAAUUUUGUUUGCUUUUUUUUUUUCCUUAUGAACCAUGGUCUUGUUUAGAAGUUUCCUCUCUCUGGUGGGAGAGAAUUGAAAUGCUCUGUUUGGCAGUGUGGGUGAACCACACCAGCUGCAUGCCAACCAGCAUGCGAGCAGUGUGCAGGCACCGCAGCCAUCCAGUCCAGCCCUCAGCAAGUGGCCUUAGAGGAAAACCCCUGCAUCCACUCCCUGAGUGUAGUGCAGCUACCUGGAGGGGUGACCUGGCACUAGUCUGGGUUGAGCUGGCUUUAGGAAUGUUUCUGCAAGCCUUGUGAUGUUUGGUCACCUGCAUCACCUGCCUCCAGCUGUUGGAGUUCUGUGGUCACUGUAUUUUAUGUAUAUGAUUGUGUGAUGAUAUGGUGUUAUGUAUUUAUACGUGUUUAUGCACAUGGUUAAGUGAUGAGUUUGCUUAUCUGCACGCUUUUAGGAGGACUGGCACUUUGAAACCCUCUCUGUUAGGAACUGGGCUUGGCAGAAAUGUGUAUUCUUAGCAAAGAGGAGUUGUACUUACAAACUUGCUUUACUGGCAAGUACGUGGUAGCCUGUAGGGCAUCAAAUGCUUUGGAAAAGCAUUGAUGCAGUCAGGUUGAGCUUUGCCUCCCUGUGGCCUUCAAAAAGCAAACAGAAACGAGCAGGGUUUGCUCUACAAGCAGCAACAACCCCACAGGCUCUGCCUGUGUGCAGCAGUGGAGCGGCCCUGGCCUGGCCCUGCCCAUUGUUGUGUGCCUUCUAUCUUUUUUGCUGGCAGGUAGGUGGUUAAUUACUUGGAGGUUGCAAGCUGAAGUCUUAUUUUUCAUAUGUGACUUAGUAAUUAAAUUCCCCCAGUUGAUAUUACAUAAUGUAAGUAACAGCGACAUCAUUUUAGAAGAAUAGUCAGAUCUGACAGACAGUUUAAAGUAAUUUCACUCUAUAUUGGAGUCUAACGCUAAGAGAGUGCACAGAAAGCAGAAGGCAGCUGCCUCAAAUAGUUGGAAAUUAGCGUGUGGUAACCAACAACUAUUAUUAUUGUAUUACUGCUGUAAUUCCCAAAUGGAGAGUUAAAUUUCUACAACAGAUACAGCUUUUAACCAAAAAAAGGGGGGGGGGAGGGGGGGAGUGUGAUUUUUUUUUUAUUUUUUUUAUUUUUUUUCCCUAGGAAGGAAUGCUCUUUUAUUAAAUGAUAGAACUGAAUGUACAUUUCCCAAACGAAGGGAAGAAAAAAAAAAACAGCCUUGCAGGAGUCCUCAUCAUGGGCCUUCAGCUUCUCAGCAGCUGCCCCUGUAAGGUUGCUUGAGUUUGAAAUAAGUGGAAAACAUGGACCUGUUGGAUGUGGGAUUAUGUUGAAACAGUACAGCAGGAGUCCAAAUGGGAGAGGAAAUCUGUGCACAACCAGUGCCACCACGAGAUAAAUAAGCAGCAGGAACCAGGAGGAGGAGGAUCUGAGGAGCUGUGACCUUGCAUUGCUCUUGCUCUACAUGGCCAACUGCCUGAACUGAACGUAUACCCUUGUAACUCCGGAAUCUGAUUCAAGGGAAGAACUGCUCUUGGUGCCUGCAACCAGUGGUAGAUACAUUGUGACAUGACUGAUUUGCAGCAGGAGUAACCAGGGGCCUAACAAAAGCCUUGACGGAAAACCACCCAAAGGCAAACCUGCUGCGAUUAGAUUCAGAUCAGUGUGAGAAAAGAUGUCCACACCAUGUUCAUUCCCAUCCCUGUCUUCUCCAGAUAAUGUGCUUCCUUGGAGCUGCCAAGAGAAAACGCAUUCCCACGGUAUCAUCAAAGGAGCUGUGUCCAGCACCAGUUUUUCCUACCAACCAGAUCAACGGGCUGAGUGUGGCAGCUCUGUACAGCAGCUCUCGUGACUCCAGCUGAUACAUUCACAUCAUGAGAAGGUCCGG